rnacentral:rRNA from 1 species
GCGNGGGCANGCUACCGUGCGUCGAUGUCCGGCNGUCGUCGUCGUGCACUUCUCCCCAAGUAGAACGUCGCGNCCCGCUGGGUGUCGGUCUACGGCCCGGGUGCGGUGACUGUCGCGUCGCCGGUAAAACGGCACGCGACAAACCCUCGGUCGCCCGGCCGGCUGCUCGGCGGUACGCGCAAGGUAUCAGGCCGCACUUCUACACGGUGCGUCGAGGCCGUCGCAAGCGCGCGCCACGGUACUCGGAGGUUACGGACUUUGCGCCGUCCCCGGUCCUGGCCCGCUGUUGGUUAAAGUACGGAUCACCUUCGACAGGCCUGCGAACNUCUCUCUCACGGGGGACGGAUACNNNNGGCG